UGGGAAGCCAUAUUCGAUGGAAGUCAUAUGUAUGGCUUGGUGGGAGAUAUUUCCUAUCUUUCUAGAUCCACCCUACAAUAUGGGGUCAAAAUCCAAAAAAAGAAGUGA
rnacentral:rRNA from 1 species